AGCAUCUGAACACAGCUGGCACAUUACCACCUAUGGGCUUUUGCCCUAAUUCAGUGAUUUUCAAAAUGCAGGUCCAGAUCAGCAGCAUCAGCAUCAGAUUUUAUUUACUUAUAAAAGAGAGAGAGCACAGAGGGAGAGUGAAAGGGAGAAGCAGACUCUCUGCCAAG
rnacentral:lncRNA from 1 species